rnacentral:rRNA from 2 species
CGGCGAGUGAAGCGGCAACAGCUCAAAUUUGAAAUCUGGCUCUUUCAGGGUCCGAGUUGUAAUUUGUAGAGGAUGUUUCGGGUGUGGCUCCGGUCUAAGUUCCUUGGAACAGGACGUCAUAGAGGGUGAGAAUCCCGUAUGUGACUGGUAGCCUAUGCCCAUGUGAAACUCCUUCGACGAGUCGAGUUGUUUGGGAAUGCAGCUCAAAAUGGGUGGUAAAUUUCAUCUAAAGCUAAAUAUUGGCCAGAGACCGAUAGCGCACAAGUAGAGUGAUCGAAAGAUGAAAAGCACUUUGGAAAGAGAGUUAAACAGUACGUGAAAUUGUUGAAAGGGAAGCGCUUGCAACCAGACUUGCAUGUAGCUGAUCAACCGGUGUUCUCACCGGUGCACUCAGUUGCGUUCAGGCCAGCAUCGGUUUCGACGGUUGGAUAAAGGCCUUGGGAAUGUAGCUUCUUUCGGGGAGUGUUAUAGCCCAGGGUGCAAUGCAGCCUGUUGGGACCGAGGACCGCGCUUCGGCUAGGAUGCUGGCGUAAUGGUUGUAAGCGACCCGUCUUGAAACACGGACCAAGGAGUCUAACAUCUAUGCGAGUGUUUGGGUGUCAAACCCAUACGCGUAAUGAAAGUGAACGGAGGUGAGAACCCUUAAGGGUGCAUCAUCGACCGAUCCUGAUGUCUUCGGAUGGAUUUGAGUAAGAGCAUAGCUGUUGGGACCCGAAAGAUGGUGAACUAUGCCUGAAUAGGGUGAAGCCAGAGGAAACUCUGGUGGAGGCUCGCAGCGGUUCUGACGUGCAAAUCGAUCGUCAAAUUUGGGUAUAG